rnacentral:rRNA from 1 species
UGUCGGCUGGGUGGGGACGUAACAAAGCGACCCAGGAAUACUUGGGCGUGCCUCCACCCACGCCGGCGUCGGCGGGCGUAUUUCGCCUCACAGUAGGUCGCCGCGACCCGUUGCUUUUGGGGACGUCGAAGGCCCGGACGGAUUGGUACCCUACCGGCUGGGGAUGCGGCUUCGGCUUCUCCUCUUGUCCGGUGGGCGAAACCGCCGGUGUCCUGGCUGCCCUGCGACGGUCGUAGAGACGAGCCCUCCCCCAUUCGUGGGGGGCGGCUCUCGCGGCGUGCAAAAGGUCGGUGAUCCACCCGACCCGUCUUGAAACACGGACCAAGGAGUCUAACAUGUGUGCGAGUCAGUGGGCGCACUAAACCCAGAGGCGUAAUGAAAGUGACACGGGUUCGGCUGUCGCCUCGUGUGGCAGCCGGACUCAGGGCCGAUCCCUCACCGGUUGCCCUCGCCUCUCUCCCGCGUCUCGGUAAGCCGGGUGAGCUAUUUUCCCCGGCCAAUGCUGCGGGGCUCGGGGGGA